UACGGAGGGAGCUAGCGUUGUUCGGAAUUACUGGGCGUAAAGCGCACGUAGGCGGCUUUGUAAGUUAGAGGUGAAAGCCCGGGGCUCAACUCCGGAACUGCCUUUAAGACUGCAUCGCUUGAAUCCAGGAGAGGUGAGUGGAAUUCCGAGUGUAGAGGUGAAAUUCGUAGAUAUUCGGAAGAACACCAGUGGCGAAGGCGGCUCACUGGACUGGUAUUGACGCUGAGGCACGAAAGCGUGGGGAGCAAACAGG
rnacentral:rRNA from 1 species